rnacentral:lncRNA from 1 species
GAUAGUAGGUUUUGAUCCGACGGUUGGGUUCUGUUCGUGAUGUAUUUAGAUCUUACGAUCUGGGAUUGCCUAGUGUUGUGAUUCUUGUGGUUGGCCCUCUUGACCUAGGUGGAGAUUAUUUGGGGCGAAACCCAAUAAAUUUGUUUAUUAUAUACUAAUUUUUUAUGACGUGCAAUGCACGAGUUGUUCGUUUAUUUCAUAAAAAAUUAGGUAUUGUUUAAAUAUUAAUUUAUUAUUAAUUAAAAUUUUUCUUGGC